GUAGUCGAUGGGAAACAGGUUAAUAUUCCUGUACUUGGUGUUACUGCGAAGGGGGGACGGAGAAGGCUAUGUUGGCCGGGCGACGGUUGUCCCGGUUUAAGCGUGUAGGCUGGUUUUCCAGGCAAAUCCGGAAAACUAAGGCUGAGGCGUGAUGACGAGGCACUACGGUGCUGAAGCAACAAAUGCCCUGCUUCCAGGAAAAGCCUCUAAGCAUCAGGUAACAUCAAAUCGUACCCCAAACCGACACAGGUGGUCAGGUAGAGAAUACCAAGGCGCUUGAGAGAACUCGGGUGAAGGAACUAGGCAAAAUGGUGCCGUAACUUCGGGAGAAGGCACGCUGAUAUGUAGGUGAAGUCCCUCGCGGAUGGAGCUGAAAUCAGUCGAAGAUACCAGCUGGCUGCAACUGUUUAUUAAAAACACAGCACUGUGCAAACACGAAAGUGGACGUAUACGGUGUGACGCCUGCCCGGUGCCGGAAGGUUAAUUGAUGGGGUCAGCGCAAGCGAAGCUCUUGAUCGAAGCCCCGGUAAACGGCGGCCGUAACUAUAACGGUCCUAAGGUAGCGAAAUUCCUUGUCGGGUAAGUUCCGACCUGCACGAAUGGCGUAAUGAUGGCCAGGCUGUCUCCACCCGAGACUCAGUGAAAUUGAACUCGCUGUGAAGAUGCAGUGUACCCGCGGCAAGACGGAAAGACCCCGUGAACCUUUACUAUAGCUUGACACUGAACAUUGAGCCUUGAUGUGUAGGAUAGGUGGGAGGCUUUGAAGUGUGGACGCCAGUCUGCAUGGAGCCGACCUUGAAAUACCACCCUUUAAUGUUUGAUGUUCUAACGUUGACCCGUAAUCCGGGUUGCGGACAGUGUCUGGUGGGUAGUUUGACUGGGGCGGUCUCCUCCUAAAGAGUAACGGAGGAGCACGAAGGUUGGCUAAUCCUGGUCGGACAUCAGGAGGUUAGUGCAAUGGCAUAAGCCAGCUUGACUGCGAGCGUGACGGCGCGAGCAGGUGCGAAAGCAGGUCAUAGUGAUCCGGUGGUUCUGAAUGGAAGGGCCAUCGCUCAACGGAUAAAAGGUACUCCGGGGAUAACAGGCUGAUACCGCCCAAGAGUUCAUAUCGACGGCGGUGUUUGGCACCUCGAUGUCGGCUCAUCACAUCCUGGGGCUGAAGUAGGUCCCAAGGGUAUGGCUGUUCGCCAUUUAAAGUGGUACGCGAGCUGGGUUUAGAACGUCGUGAGACAGUUCGGUCCCUAUCUGCCGUGGGCGCUGGAGAACUGAGGGGGGCUGCUCCUAGUACGAGAGGACCGGAGUGGACGCAUCACUGGUGUUCGGGUUGUCAUGCCAAUGGCACUGCCCGGUAGCUAAAUGCGGAAGAGAUAAGUGCUGAAAGCAUCUAAGCACGAAACUUGCCCCGAGAUGAGUUCUCCCUGACUCCUUGAGAGUCCUGAAGGAACGUUGAAG
rnacentral:rRNA from 1 species